AUUUAAAUAGCUUAAUUUAAGAGUGUAAUAUUGAAGAUAUUAAGGUGAU
rnacentral:tRNA from 1 species